rnacentral:rRNA from 1 species
UCUUGAGUGCAGAAGAGGAGAGUGGAAUUCCAUGUGUAGCGGUGGAAUGCGUAGAUAUAUGGAAGAACACCAGUGGCGAAGGCGGCUCUCUGGUCUGCAACUGACGCUGAGGCUCGAAAGCAUGGGUAGCGAACAGGAUUAGAUACCCUGGUAGUCCAUGCCGUAAACGAUGAGCGCUAGGUGUUGGGGACUUUCCGGUCCUCAGUGCCGCAGCAAACGCAUUAAGCGCUCCGCCUGG